CGCGUGAGAAUCUAGCUUCAGGUCGGGGAUAACUACUGGAAACGGUGGCUAAUACCGGAUGUGCCGAGAGGUGAAAGGUUAACUGCCUGAAGAUGAGCUCGCGUCUGAUUAGCUAGUUGGUGUGGUAAGAGCGCACCAAGGCGUCGAUCAGUAGCUGGUCUGAGAGGAUGAUCAGCCACACUGGGACUGAGACACGGCCCAGACUCCUACGGGAGGCAGCAGUGGGGAAUUUUCCGCAAUGGGCGAAAGCCUGACGGAGCAAUACCGCGUGAGGGAGGAAGGCUCUUGGGUUGUAAACCUCUUUUCUCAAGGAAUAAAAAAAUGAAGGUACUUGAGGAAUAAGCAUCGGCUAACUCCGUGCCAGCAGCCGCGGUAAUACGGAGGAUGCAAGCGUUAUCCGGAAUGAUUGGGCGUAAAGCGUCCGCAGGUGGCGAUGUAAGUCUGCUGUUAAAGAGUGAGGCUUAACCUCAUAAAAGCAGUGGAAACUACAUAGCUAGAGUACGUUCGGGGCAGAGGGAAUUCCUGGUGUAGCGGUGAAAUGCGUAGAGAUCAGGAAGAACACCGGUGGCGAAGGCGCUCUGCUAGGCCGUAACUGACACUGAGGGACGAAAGCUAGGGGAGCGAA
rnacentral:rRNA from 1 species